CAGUAGCCACGGUAAUACGAAGGGGGCUAGCGUUGUUCGGAUUUACUGGGCGUAAAGCGCACGUAGGCGGAUCAAUCAGUCAGGGGUGAAAUCCCAGAGCUCAACUCUGGAACUGCCUUUGAUACUGUCGAUCUGGAGUAUGGAAGAGGUGAGUGGAAUUCCGAGUGUAGAGGUGAAAUUCGUAGAUAUUCGGAGGAACACCAGUGGCGAAGGCGGCUCACUGGUCCAUUACUGACGCUGAGGUGCGAAAGCGUGGGGAGCAAACAGGAUUAGAUACCCGAGUAGUCCUGUCUCUUAUACA
rnacentral:rRNA from 1 species